CUUGAGUGUGAAUUUUUAUUAAUCCCAAAAUGCUUGCUCAUUCUCUCUCUCUCAAACACUCACCCACAGCUUAUGUGCACUCUUUGGCGGUGGAGAGGGAAAUGACGAAAGGACGUAUGUGGGUCGCACUUCUCACACCAAGACCUGCCGUUAGUCUUGGUGUGAGAAGUGCGACCCACAUACAUGUGGGGGUUUAUGUUUAUUGUUUAUAAGUAAAGGUUAAUAAGUGAUUAAGUAUGGUAUAACGGUACAAGAAUUAGAUAUCUGCGUCGUUCGUCGUCUGGUCUCGCACACAACAUUUUACGUCGGAGGUUGGAUAGAAACUCCCCUCGGCGCUCUCUCGCCGAUCGGUUGUCCGCUCUCGCUCUCAUCUCGCUCUCCUUCGUCUUCUCUUUGCGUUUGCUCUCUUGUCUGGAAUUCGCAGUGAUGCGAAUUCGCCCUUGCUCGUUUUGGUGUUUUGUCUAGGGAUCGCAAUUGGCAAAACCCAGCCCACAUCCGGCCGUCCUGACUAUGCACUUGCCUCGAAUGCAUCGUCGCUAUCGUCGUCAUUGCUCGUGGACCAUGGCUUCAGGUACUCCGCACACGAAGAGGAGUGCUUUGGACCAUCGGAAUUGCCAACUUUUUUGACGUCGUAAGCAUUGUUAUGCUUCACCUUAAUGAUCUGUAAGGACCCAAAAACUUUGGCUUAAGUUUGAGUCCGCUUCCAAACUGAGUCCUCUUUAUAGCAACUAGGUCGCCAACGUCGUAAUGUCUGGGUGGUUUACGUCGCAAGUUAUACGUCUUCUUGUUCUCGGCUUGCAGAUUCAGAAUUUGAGUUUUCGCUUUAGCCCGUAGCUCAUUGCGGUCGUCUUCAAAUGCAAUGAUGGACUCCUUCUGGAUCAAACUCUGAAGCUGCUGGUCAUCUUUGGUGCGCAUCUUGAUACCCAUCAUAAGCUCAAAAGGAGUUGUAUCGAUGCUUCUGGUGUACGUCGAGUUUAUUGCUCGCUGGACUCGAUCUACGUGCUUAAACCAUUUGGAUGGAUCGUCUACACUGAGCUUGGAUAGCACGGAGAUGAUCACUGAGUUGAGCCUUUCCACCUGCCCGUUUACCCGUGGCAGUCCGGUAGUCGUCUUCACCAGUUUAAUUUUUUCGUCUUCGCAGUACUGUAGGAAAUCUUGUGCGGUAAACGCCGAGCCUCUAUCUGAAAUGAUACAAACAGGGUUGCCAAACGUCACGCUUUGGCUGCGUAACUUUAAUAUGACCUCGUUAGAUGUAGUAGACUUUGUAGGGUAUAGCCAGAAAAACUUCGUGAAAGCGUCGAUAACAACAAGUAUGUGUUUGUAGCUUUUGCUGGUUGACUCCAGUGGACCCAAAAAGUCGAUUUGAUAGGUCUGCAGCGGCACAUCAUAUUUUUGCAGGGGGUUCAAAAGACCUUCUUGUUUACCACGCUUGCGAUUUACUAAUAUGCAAGGUAUGCAACAAUCGAUGUACUUCUUAAUUUUGUCGUCUAAAUUUGGUAUGUAAUACUCCUUGCAGAUUAACUCUUUCGUCUUCUUGAUAGCAAAGUGUCCUCUAUCGUGGGCCUUGCCGAUGAUAGUUUUCUGCAUAUCCUUUGGAAUCACCAUCAGUUCCACAUCUUCGACUAAUUUAUAGAGGAUUCCUGACUUUAUAAAGUAGUCUUCGUAUGGUUGGCUGUCGGCGUUGAUAAGCUUCAUGAUCGUCUUCAAGUGUUCGUCUCGUUUUUGCGCCUGUUCUAUGCCAACUAAAAUGCUUCCGUCGUUUAUGGACAUAAUGGGAUAUCGUGAAAGUGCGUCUACAUGGCGCAUUCGGGAUCCUGCGCGAUGCUCGACUUCGUAGUUGUACUCCUGCAAAAGCAUUAUCCAUCUUGCCACCCUUGUACACAGAUUCUGCUUCUCUAGUGUUUUGGUUAACGCGUUGCAGUCGUCAGCUUCGUCAAUGCUUCAAUCACCGCAAGUAUUUCCAACUCAUAGCUCGUGUAUUUUCGUUGUGCAUCUGUCGUCUUCUUACUCAUGUAAUACACUGGAUGUAAGUGCCCAUCGUCUGGUGAUUUUUGCAUAAGCACGGCUCCAAAUCCAUCUAUAGAUGCAUCCGUAUGGAGCUCUGUCUCGUACUGCUGAUUGUAAAUGGCAAGCACUGGGUUUGAUGUCAAACAUUUCUUCAACACUCCAAUAGCGUUCUCUUCGUCUGGGCCAAUUACAAACUUAGCAUUGUUCUUCGUUAGGUCAGUCAAUGGUUUGGCUAUCACCGCGUAAUUGUAGAUAAACUUUCUAAAGUAUCCUGCAAGACCCAAAAAACUCUGAAGCUGUUUCAGGGUCUGCGGCGUCUUGAACUUCGAAACGGCUUCAAUCUUCAAUGGUGUCGGAUAUAGUUUCUUGUUCUCGAUAAUAUGGCCAAGAAACUGGAUUCGUGUUUGUAAAAAAUGACACUUUUUAAAAUUCAGCUCUAGCCCAUAUUCUUCGCACGUCUUGAGAACUUCUUUCAGGUUUGCUAGGGCUUCUAGCUCGUCUUUGGCUGGGAUAAUUACGUCGUCAACAUAUGGUAGUGCUAUACCUUUUCUAGUCAGUGAUCGAAAUAUUGCGCCAAUAUGUCUUUGGAAUACUCCUGGGGAAUUCGACAAACCAAAUGGGACCUUGCGAAACUGGUAUUGUCCGCUUUGCGUCACAAAUGAGGUGUACUUCCUACUCUCUUCGGCCACAGGAACAUGGAAAAACCCAUUUUUCAAGUCAAUCGUACUGAAUACUACANCUCGUUUUUGCGCCUGUUCUAUGCCAACUAAAAUGCUUCCGUCGUUUAUGGACAUAAUGGGAUAUCGUGAAAGUGCGUCUACAUGGCGCAUUCGGGAUCCUGCGCGAUGCUCGACUUCGUAGUUGUACUCCUGCAAAAGCAUUAUCCAUCUUGCCACCCUUGUACACAGAUUCUGCUUCUCUAGUGUUUUGGUGAACGCGUUGCAGUCCGUUAUAAUCUUAAAUGGAAUACCCAAAAGAUAAACUCGAAACUUCGUCAAUGCUUCAAUCACCGCAAGUAUUUCCAACUCAUAGCUCGUGUAUUUUCGUUGUGCAUCUGUCGUCUUCUUACUCAUGUAAUACACUGGAUGUAAGUGCCCAUCGUCUGGUGAUUUUUGCAUAAGCACGGCUCCAAAUCCAUCUAUAGAUGCAUCCGUAUGGAGCUCUGUCUCGUACUGCUGAUUGUAAAUGGCAAGCACUGGGUUUGAUGUCAAACAUUUCUUCAACACUCCAAUAGCGUUCUCUUCGUCUGGGCCAAUUACAAACUUAGCAUUGUUCUUCGUUAGGUCAGUCAAUGGUUUGGCUAUCACCGCGUAAUUGUAGAUAAACUUUCUAAAGUAUCCUGCAAGACCCAAAAAACUCUGAAGCUGUUUCAGGGUCUGCGGCGUCUUGAACUUCGAAACGGCUUCAAUCUUCAAUGGUGUCGGAUAUAGUUUCUUGUUCUCGAUAAUAUGGCCAAGAAACUGGAUUCGUGUUUGUAAAAAAUGACACUUUUUAAAAUUCAGCUCUAGCCCAUAUUCUUCGCACGUCUUGAGAACUUCUUUCAGGUUUGCUAUGGCUUCUAGCUCGUCUUUGGCUGGGAUAAUUACGUCGUCAACAUAUGGUAGUCAGUGAUCGAAAUAUUGCACCAAUAUGUCUUUGGAAUACUCCUGGGGAAUUCGACAAACCAAAUGGGACCUUGCGAAACUGGUAUUGUCCGCUUUGCGUCACAAAUGAGGUGUACUUCCUACUCUCUUCGGCCACAGGAACAUGGAAAAACCCAUUUUUCAAGUCAAUCGUACUGAAUACUACAGCGUCCUGCAAACGAUCUAGCUGGUCAUCUAUCAACGGCAAUGGGAAAUGAUCUUUUUCGAUGACUUUAUUGAUGCGUCUGAAGUCAAUACAUAGACGUUGCUUGCCGUCAUUCUUUUUUACUAGUACAACCGGACUCGUGAACUCGGAUUCUGAUUCUUCAAUUACCUCAUUCUGCAGCCAUUCAUCAACCUGGUCUUCUAUGAUACGUGUUUCAGUCAUAGCAAACCGCCGCGGCCGCGAGAAAAUUGGCGUUUCGUCUUUAAGAAUUAUUUUCAUUUCAAUGUUUGUUGUUUUUGAUUUUUCCGGUUUAUACGUCGUUACUAUCUCGCGAACUUCUUUUCGUGUAAUCUCGUUUAUCGCUUCGUUUAUGUUCAGUUCAGAAUUGUCCACCGCUACGUCGAUUUUCAUUAUGGACGCUUCGUCAUACGCAUCUUCGUUAUUUUCAUUUGGCAUUUUAUUAACUUUUACUCCAUGGCGAUUAAAUGAUACUUCUGCGUGCAAACAAAGCUCUUCCCCGAUUAUCAGCUUAAUAUCCAUGAACUUAGAAGCAACAACAUAAAAUGUCAAAACAUAUUCUUCGUCGUCAAUACGUAUGCUAUGUUCUACUUGACCAAUCGGCUUGAUAUUGUCAGCCUUGCUUUCACUUCCGAAACCGACCAAGCGCACUCUGCAGUUCUUUAAUUUUGGCAUACACAGUUCGUCGUAAAAGUCUUCGCGCAAAAUAUUGAAUUUACUGCCAGUGUCAAAUAGUGCCAUACAUUUCAUAUUUUUAAUCGAAACUUCUUUGGAUGUCAAUUCCGCUCUAUUCAAAAUUACACGCAAGUUUUGUUUUUCUUCGUUUGCCUUCUCACUUUUCUCCUUGCAAUUCUUUGAAAUGUGCCCAAACUGAUUGCACUUGAAGCACUUUUUUCCCUUCUCUUUGCUCGAGCAACUGCUAGACACAUGACCCUUCUCUCCGCAGUUGUAACACACGACGUCUUUUUUGCCAGUCUGGGUAUAAUUUUGUCCAACCGACAUCUUCUUAUCUCUUCCCGUCUUCUCACUCUUUUUUAUUUUCUCGUUUAUUUUCUCAUAAUCUUUUAAUUUGUCCUUAAAAUCAGACAUCUUUUUCGCACCAUAUAAAAUAGAUUUAUUUAAUGCCAUCUCGUCGACACCGUCAAUCACGUAUUGCAUAAGUGCGUCGUCUUCGACAUUUCCUCUUGCAGCAAUAUCUCUCAUGCGAUAAAAAUAUUCCAGAACAUUC
rnacentral:lncRNA from 1 species